rnacentral:rRNA from 1 species
UAGGGAAUAUUGCUCAAUGGGCGAAAGCCUGAAGCAGCAACGCCGCGUGUGCGAUGAAGGCCUUCGGGUCGUAAAGCACUUUUCUGAGAGAUGAGAAAGGACAGUAUCUCAGGAAUAAGUCUCGGCUAACUACGUGCCAGCAGCCGCGGUAAAACGUAGGAGGCAAGCGUUAUCCGGAUUCACUGGGCGUAAAGCGCGUGCAGGCGGUGCGGUAAGUUGGGCGUGAAUCUCCCGGCUCAACUGGGAGAGGUCGUCCAAUACUACCGUACUUGAGAGCAGAAGAGGAAAAUGGAAUUCCCGGUGUAGUGGUGAAAUGCGUAGAUAUCGGGAGGAACACCAGUGGCGAAGGCGAUUUUCUGGUCUGUUUCUGACGCUCAGACGCGACAGCUAGGGUAGUAAACGGGAUUAGAGACCCCGGUAAUCCUAGCCGUAAACGAUGUGAACUUGGCGUUGGUGGGUU